UACGGAGGAUCCAAGCGUUAUCCGGAAUCAUUGGGCUUAAAGGGUCCGUAGGCGUUUUUGUAAGUCAGUGGUGAAAUCCGGCAGCUCAACUGUCGAACUGCCAUUGAUACUGCAGGACUUGAAUUAUUGUGAAGUAACUAGAAUAUGUAGUGUAGCGGUGAAAUGCUUAGAUAUUACAUGGAAUACCAAUUGCGAAGGCAGGUUACCAACAAUACAUUGACGCUGAUGGACGAAAGCGUGGGGAGCGAACAGG
rnacentral:rRNA from 1 species